GCAUAUCAAGAAGCGGAGGAAAAGAAACCCAACCGGGAUUGCCUCAGUAACGGCGAGUGAAGCGGCAAGAGCUCAAAUUUGAAAUCUGGCCCCUCCGGGGUCCGAGUUGUAAUUUGCAGAGGAUGCUUCGGGUGCGGCCCCUGUCUAAGUGCCCUGGAACGGGCCGUCAGAGAGGGUGAGAAUCCCGUCUUGGGCAGGGUGCCCGUGCCCGUGUGAAGCUCCUUCGACGAGUCGAGUUGUUUGGGAAUGCAGCUCUAAAUGGGUGGUAAAUUUCAUCUAAAGCUAAAUACCGGCCGGAGACCGAUAGCGCACAAGUAGAGUGAUCGAAAGAUGAAAAGCACUUUGAAAAGAGAGUUAAACAGCACGUGAAAUUGUUGAAAGGGAAGCGCUUGCGACCAGACUCGCCCCCGGGGUUCAGCCAGCACUCGUGCUGGUGUACUUCCCCGGGGUCGGGCCAGCGUCGGUUCGGGCGGCCGGUCAAAGGCCCCAGGAAUGUAUCGCCCUCCGGGGCGUCUUAUAGCCUGGGGUGCAAUGCGGCCAGCCCGGACCGAGGAACGCGCUUCGGCACGGACGCUGGCGUAAUGGUCGCAAACGACCCGUCUUGAAACACGGACCAAGGAGUCUAACAUCUACGCGAGUGUUCGGGUGUCAAACCCGUACGCGCAGUGAAAGCGAACGGAGGUGGGAGCCCCCCCGGGGCGCACCAUCGACCGAUCCUGAUGUCUUCGGAUGGAUUUGAGUAGGAGCGUAGCUGUGGGGACCCGAAAGAUGGUGAACUAUGCCUGAAUAGGGCGAAGCCAGAGGAAACUCUGGUGGAGGCUCGCAGCGGUUCUGACGUGCAAAUCGAUCGUCAAAUUUGGGGUAUAGGGGCGAAAGACUAAUCGAAACCAUCUGGUAGCUGGUUGCUGCCGAAG
rnacentral:rRNA from 1 species